UACGGAGGGUGCAAGCGUUGUCCGGAAUUAUUGGGUGUAAAGGGUGUGUAGGCGGGACUGUAAGUCAGGGGUGAAAGCCUGCGGCCUAACCGUAGAAUUGCCUUUGAUACUGCAGUCCUUGAGUCCCGGAGAGGUCGCUGGAAUUCGUGGUGUAGCGGUGAAAUGCGUAGAUAUCACGAGGAACACCAGAAGCGUAGGCGGGCGACUGGACGGGUACUGACGCUGAGGCACGAAAGCGUGGGGAGCAAACAGG
rnacentral:misc_RNA from 1 species